AUGAACGCUAGCGACAGGCCUAACACAUGCAAGCGAGGGGCAGCACAAGGAGCAAUCUGAGGUGGCGACCGGCGCACGGGUGAGUAACACGUAUGCAACCUGCCUGUAAGCGGGGAAUAACCCGUUGAAAGACGGACUAAUACCGCAUAAUACUAAAUUACUGCAUGGUAAUUUAUUUAAACAUUUAUGGCUUACAGAUGGGCAUGCGCAUGAUUAGCUAGUUGGAGAGGUAACGGCUCCCCAAGGCAACGAUCAUUAGGGGUUCUGAGAGGAAGGUCCCCCACACUGGUACUGAGACACGGACCAGACUCCUACGGGAGGCAGCAGUGAGGAAUAUUGGUCAAUGGACGAGAGUCUGAACCAGCCAAGUCGCGUGCAGGAAGAAUGUCCCUAUGGAUUGUAAACUGCUUUUGCAGGGGAAUAAAGUGCAUCACGUGUGAUGUUUUGUAUGUACUCUGCGAAUAAGGAUCGGCUAACUCCGUGCCAGCCGCCGC
rnacentral:rRNA from 1 species